rnacentral:lncRNA from 10 species
CACCACCCAGUUCUGUGUGUGGCGGUCCCCUUCCUCCUCCUCUCUGCCAAAAGGAAAUGUAACUUCUCUGAUGACGUGUCCUUAAAUAUCAGCCAGGUGACGGGCUGGGUGACAUUUAACUGAAAAAAAAAAAAAAAACAGAAACAUUUCAUUCUGAAAAGUGAUUCAUUCCUUUUCUUGUGCUGUUCACAAGGACGGGGCUAGGCACGGUCGUAUCAUUGGAAAAUGCGUAUGACCUUCCUGGAAGGAUUAAUGCAAAACUUACUUGAUAAAUUCAUUUGAUCCCUUUGUUGAAAACUGGUCUAAUUACUUCAUAGUCACACCAUCCAUGUGCCUGGCAAAUGUUGCAAAUGCUAGGCUCAAAACAAUCUUAGCCCCAGUAGCAAAUGAUGAGAAGCUGGGAAGAAAUGCUGGUGGUGAGCUCAGUUCACCUCUAGCUCAAAGUUAGAGCACACCAGAAAGGUACUGGUCAGGAGAAACUGUCGUUCAUUCAUUCAUUCAUCCAUUCGUCCAAUUGUGUAUGUAGCAAAUGUCGAGCAAGGUACUGUUCUAGGCUCUGGGUAGAAAAAAUAAAGUUUUCAAGCACUCCUAUCGUAUGGAGCCCACAGACAGGCAAACAAUUGCAGUGCAGUGGUAUCAGUGGAGCAGUAAAAUCAUGACACUGGGGAUAUGAGGGCAAUCUGGCUGCGACAUCUGUCAUCCCAUUGAUCUCCAGGGUUGAUUCAGCUGAUCUGGCUGGCUAGGCAGGUGUCCCCUUUCUCCUUCACCGCUCCAUCUGCGUCCCUCCUGAAGCUGCGCACUCCAUCGAAGAGGACGACUGUCCCUGAUAGAGGAGGACUGGUCUUUGGUCAAGGGUGUAUGAAUAGCUGCGCUCCCCUGCUAGAACCUCCAAACAAGUGCUCAGAUCACUGGUGCUCUAUAUUCAAACACCAACUGCCCUGAUAAUGGGCCAGUUGUCUUCUAAGCCAUUCCAGGCCUGCCCUUUGCUCUGUAUUGCUAGGAGCUGUCUCUGGCAGGCUGAGUUUCACAGACGCUUGGGUCAGUUAGUUGGUGGCUAGAUGUGGCCAAUGAGGGUCACUGGAGGAGUGGAGGAUGAAAAGAAGAUAGAAGCCAGAGAACGUCAUCAUGUCUCUCCUGCCUCUGAUGGCAUCUCUAGCAGUGGCUGCAUCUGGCUGAGGCUUCUCUCAGGUGACUGUAGGCCCUGGGCUCAGGUAACACUGCCACUUCCUGUUAACUGUCCAGCGUGAGGACGUUCUUGGCUCUCUGCUGGGGUUAGUUUCUGGGUGACUUCACUGAGAUGCACAUGAGAGUGGGGAGAAGAA